rnacentral:lncRNA from 1 species
CUAAGAGCAGAUGCCCUGCCAAGAGAAUGGAAUAUAAAAAGACCAGCAAAACCUGUCAGAAACCUGACAUCACGGGACACUUGUACUAAAGCACGAUUUGCAGCCUUUCUUAAACUCUACAAAUUAUGUACAUACCUGCAAAGCAAGGAACUCCUGUAAACAUAAACACAGAGACAUUGAUACAACAAAGAAUAUGUAAUGGUUCAGUUGCAGAUGUGAUCUACCAAUGUACUCCUUGCUCUUUUGGUAUAACUAUACCAAUCAAAACGUUAAAUGGCUCCAUAGAAUCAAACGACAAAGGAUUC